rnacentral:rRNA from 1 species
GACGAACGCUGGCGGCGUGCUUAACACAUGCAAGUCGAACGAUGAAGAAAAGAAUCGAAGCUUCGGCAGACAUUCAUUUCGGAUUAGUGGCAUACGGGUGAGUAACGCGUGAGCAACCUACCUCUUACAAAGGGAUAGCCUCGGGAAACCGGGAUUAAUACCAUAUAACAUUGUGACGAAGCAUUUCGAUGCAAUCAAAGCUACGGCGGUAAGAGAUGGGCUCGCGUUCCAUUAACCGGAUGGUGAGGUAACGGCUCACCAUAGUGACGAUGGGUAACCGGCCUGAGAGGAUGAACGGUCACACUGGAACUGAGACACGGUCCAGACUCCUACGGGAGGCAGCAGUGGGGAAUAUUGCACAAUGGAGGGAACUCUGAUGCAGCGACGCCGCGUGAGUGAUGAAGGAAUUCGUUUCGUAAAACUCUGUUCUAUGGGAAGAAAAGGACUGUACCAUAGGAGAAAGCUCCGGCUAAAUACGUG